AAAAAGACAAACCCUGGGUUUCCGUGUCCAACGUUUGACCGUCCGUCUUAUUUGAAAAAAUUAUGAAAAAAAUUAAAAAGACAAGUCACGUAUAAAGUAUUAAUCAUGUUUUAUCAUCUAACAACAAUAAAAAUACUAAUUAUAAAAAAAAUUCAUAUAAGACGGACAGUCAAACGUUGGACACGGAAACCCAAGGUUUGUCUUUUU
rnacentral:pre_miRNA from 1 species